AUUGAACGCUGGAGGCAGACCUAACACAUGCAAGUCGAGCGGAGCGGCGGCCGGGUGAGUAAUGCCUAGGAAUCUGCCUGGUAGUGGGGGAUAACGUCCGGAAACGGGCGCUAAUACCGCAUCCUAUCAGAUGAGCCUAGGUCGGAUUAGCUAGUGGGUGGGGUAAAGGCCUACCAAGGCGACGAUCCGUGACUGGUCUGAGAGGAUGAUCAGUCACGAUUGAACUGAGACACGGUCCAGACUCGUACGAGGGUCAGCAGAGGAAGAUAUUGGACAAUGGGCGCAAGCUUGAAGCAACCAUGCCGCGUGUGUGAAGAAGGUCUUCGGAUUGUAAAGCACUGUAAGUUGGGGGGCGUUACCAACAGAAUAAGCACCGGCUAACUUCGUGCCAGCAGCCGCGGUAAUUC
rnacentral:rRNA from 1 species